UCAGACGAUGCGUCAUGCAUAUCAAUAAGCGGAGGAAAAGAAACUAACAAGGAUUCCCCUAGUAACGGCGAGUGAAGCGGGAAGAGCUCAAAUUUGAAAUCUUCAAGGUUUGACCUUGACGAAUUGUAGUUUAAAGAAGUGUUUUCGGUUAGAGGAGUGGUAAAAGUUCUUUGGAAUAGGACAUCAUAGAGGGUGAGAAUCCCGUAUUUGACCAUUCUUUCUAGCUUUGUGAUACACUUUCAAAGAGUCGGAUUGUUUGGGAACGCAGUCCAAAAUGGGUGGUAAAUUUCAUCUAAAGCUAAAUAUUGGCGAGAGACCGAUAGCGAACAAGUACCGUGAGGGAAAGAUGAAAAGAACUUUGAAAAGAGAGUUAAACAGUACGUGAAAUUGUCAAAAGGGAAGCGUUUGACACCAGUGUUGUUUUCUCGAAAAUCAAUUAAAAAGAGUCCUGGAUUUUGUGUUGUAUUGACCUUAAUCAGCUUGCUUCACUCUUUUCCUUGUCUUUUUUUAAUGCACUUUUCGUUUAACAAGUCAACAUCAGUUUCUUUUGUUGUAAAAGGGUCAUUGGAAGGUGGCUUUCUCUUCGGAGAAAGUGUUUAUAGCCUUUGAUCUCUGCAAUCGGAGAGACUGAGGUCUGCAGCGUAGAUCCUUCGGGGUUAGAUACAUUUGUGCUAAGCUAUAGCCUUUCAUAGACAACUUGUUGACUAUGAAUUAGUCAUUGUAGCUUACCUCGCUUAUGCUAUUUUACCUACGCUUAGGAUGUUGAUAUGCAUGACUGAUAU
rnacentral:rRNA from 1 species